GAUUGAACUUAUGAAUCCUUUGAGUUGAGGAUAUGAUCAUACUUGCUAUGAGUUCCGUGCUCGAGGGCGGUCGCUCCCCCUCGGGCGAUGCGCUCCGGAGUUAUGCAUCACGGGUUGGAGUAAACCCGAAGGACGGUCCUAGCUGGUGAGUUCCUGCGAUGAUGGACUUAAUGUGAAGCAAGUCAAUGUGGCGAUACCCCCGGGUUAGCCUUGAGAUUAAAGAACAAAGAGUAAAGAACAAAGAACAAGAACAAAGAGCAAAGAAUAAAGAACAAAGUACAAAGUAAAAUCAAAGAAUGAAAGAAUUUGCAUAAUCUGCAUUUAUUCAAUGUUGAGCAUACUUCUUGCUUAUUGUUCAGGCAUAUUAGCAUCAUGUUGUAGAUUGGUUACUAUACAGCUUAUUCUUUCUAUUAUGCCUGAGUUAGACCUAGUGGGAAAGUCGGUGAUGUUGAGGCCGAACCCACUGGGAACUUUGUUGUAGUUCUCACCCCACUAUUUCCACAGAACCGGGACCGAGCGAGCCGGCGAGCGACCGAGGUAAAGGUAUCGCGCCUUAGUCAGAGGCCACCAAAGUUGGGUUCAUUUUGUAGUAAAGUACCCUAUGUUCAUCUUUUGUACUUGAGGAUGAAUGAUGUAAAGAAAAGAAUGUAAUGUGUAUUUUGAGGUAAAUGUGAUGUAAGAAAGAAAUGAUGUAAUCAAAUGCAAAGAAUCCUAAAUUAUAAGAGAUGGAUGCAACGUAUAUGAU
rnacentral:lncRNA from 1 species